AUACUUUCUAAAAAAUAAAAAGCAAAGCAUGAUUACCAAAAAGGUUUAUUGCUAGUUGAAAACUUUACCCAAUACCCCGCCGUGACGACUUGAAAUAUAGUCGGCGCUGGCCAUUUUUUGACGGUCUCUUAGGAGG
rnacentral:snRNA from 1 species